ACGCUCGACACCUACGGGAGACAGCAGUGGGGAAUAUUGCACAAUGGAGGAAACUCUGAUGCAGCGAUGCCGCGUGAGGGAAGAAGGUUUUCGGAUUGUAAACCUCUGUCUUUGGGGACGAUAAUGACGGUACCCAAGGAGGAAGCUCCGGCUAACUACGUGCUAGCAGCCGCGGUAAUCUGAGCGGGCUGGCAAGGC
rnacentral:rRNA from 1 species